rnacentral:lncRNA from 1 species
GAGACGCCAACAUGGCUUCUCCCAGGGAAGUCCGGUGUGCUUCCAACUUAGGGACAGCCUUGUGGUGUGGGCCCGAGACUCCAGGGCUGCACAGCUUCUAGUAUCCCCAUUCUCAUCCCGAUGCAGUCCUUUAGAUAACUGAAGACGGUGGAAACUCUAUCCCAUCGCUUACAUGAAACUUACUGGAAUCAAUUCCCACAGCCAGGUCUCUGGGAAAGUCUGGGAGUCCUCUGAGAGCCCUCUGCGGGCGAUGGCGAUAGCGAUGCCAACCCAGCCUUCGGGGCAAUACCGCCAUCUGCUGACGAGGCUAAGAAGAAAAUACAGGAAAACAAUACUCCCAUUAUGAUAUGGGAGAUUGGUAAGAAAUUCAGAGCCAACCAGAGAACUCACUCAUACAAAGAAAAGGACCGCCACGGAGAGGAGAAGUCAGAAAGGCCACCGGGGAAGUACGGACAAAGAGUUGUGAUCAGAGACUGAACAGAUACGGGAUCCAGGCUUCAAAGGCUCUUCCUGGAGAGAUAUUCUGGAAAUGUCCUGCAUCUACGACACAGAACCAAUCUGAAGUGGCAGACUCGGUCUGAGAGCAGAGGAGGUUUUCAGGGUCCAGGGUUCCACAGCUUACCUCCCUGAGUGGCAGUGCUGUCGUGUGGAUGGUAGCAACUGCCAUCUCCUGGCUUCUUGACUUUGGCAUCUAAUAAAGUUUUCAAGUGCAUGUCCUGACUAUAGAGACCAUCAAAUGAUGUGUCAAUGUGCCCAAUGAGGUCUAGCUAGCUCAGCCACAAAUGUACUAAAAAUAAAGAUGUCUAUGCUUUC